rnacentral:lncRNA from 1 species
CAGAACUCAAUCAGAAGCAUAAAUUUAGAUAGUAGUUUGUCUUUAUCAUAAGGAAAAUAUACAGAGAAAAACUAUAAGUUCCCUACUAGCACAGCUCCAUCAAGCUUCACUCUUAUUGUAGUAAGAUCCUUGGAACAGAAAUCCUAUAUGGGUGAAAUAUUUAUAUUAUUUUUAACAAAAACACAAGUCUGAGGAACAAUAUCAGAAGUAAAAGUAAAUAACCUACCCUCUUUACAGUUAAAUCCUUAUAUUUGUCCUUUUAUAGUGCCAUGAGUCUUGAAUAAGAGCAAGGUCAUAAUAGCCCCCCCCAUGAGCUACCAAUCCAAAAGGGCAGAAGUAGUUCAGGAAUGCUGAAGGUUGAUCUAAAUCACUCUCAGAGCCAUAACACAAUAGAUGCCUAAGGAGAGCAUAUUUCCAUGCUAUCUCCAAAAUCUGGGUACCAGAAAGUCCAAAUAAACCUUUUGGAAUCUCAAUCCUAGCUGGUGAGCCCCACUAGUUUAUGUCCCUUUCCAGGAGCAAUCAUCGAAGCUUUCAAUCAUUCAGACUUGGAAUUAACAUCCAAAAGUACUAUAAAGAUUUCUUUGUCAAUCCCAGUAAGAAUUUUAAAAUUGGCUAGCCUUACCUGAAGCAAGAUCAGUAACACAUCAUCAUAAUGAAGAGCUGUAUUUUUUGCAACUUUGCUUCAAGCCAAAAUCCUCCAGUUCUCAAUUUUAAGACUUUGAUUAUAGAUCCUGAAAUGAGCCAAGAUUUAAUUAACAUUCUUUAUCUGUACAUUUGCAAUGCAGAAUGCCACUUUCACUGUCUUGGGAAGGUCUUCACUGGAAUAACUCUUAAAUGGAUUCUUUUCCCAAGAACAUUCUCAUCCAAAAAUUGGGUGAGCCACUGAUAUAUGAAC